GGAAUUAUAAAUAAAGAAGUACAGAUAAGUGAAAAUUCUACUUAAGUACAUUAACAAAGUAUUUGUCCUUCGUUACAUUACAACACUUACAGUAA